rnacentral:lncRNA from 1 species
UUCUCCACCGAAAAUAAGGUUUAGCCGCAAAAAUUUAGUGCAUUCGAGGCUUUUAGACUUGAAGUUUGUAGGGAAAAAUUCUUCUUCAGUCAAAAUUUACAUGUAGGGCUGAAAAAUAGCUUUUUUCAGGUUUUCCCCAUAAGAGCCGUGUAGAAAGUUACAACCUGAUGUACCAUAACCUCCAAACGAAUCUUUAGGUAUGGUCAUCUAGGGGGUAUUGUUAUGUCCAGAAAAUGUGCUCGUCCUUUUUCGUUGUGUUACAGGUACCCAGUUCCCAGUUCGUUCCCGUAAAAGUUCUCGUUUUUGAAAUUUUAAAAAUCCUAGACUGUAUAGAUUUUUCAGUCAUUUCUUCAAGAGCCUAGUCCUGAAUACUUUCGGAGGGGCGCGUCUCUGAUCAGAGAUUUGCUGUUUCCAGCAGUGUUGGUAGUUAUAGGUCUUUUUACGGUUUUUACUUACACGCCGGUUUCAGCGUCCAGGUGAAAGGUAACUUCUACUGAACGAUAAAGCUCUGAAAGCUCCAGGAACGAGAUGUAUUCAACCCAUGGGUACGAUUCGGAGGAUGAGUACUGUCCUAGAAAUGUUUGUCUUGAUGUGGGUGAACUGUCUGCAGACACAGAUCUCACGAAGACACCAACUUCAGGUCAGGAGUAUCUACAGCAAGUUGUCCCAAAGCAGAGAGGGAAAAGAAGUGGAAAGCCUUAGUUUUAGAGCAGAAAAUUGUCCCGUCUCUGAAGCUUAUGUUAUCUUUUGAUCAAGUUCGAUGUGAGAAUCUUAUCAUUUAUGUCAAUGAAUGGAUAGAACAGAAAUUAAUUGAUAUUUGGGAGGUAGGACCCCUGCUGUACAGUGUCUUUGUGUGUAUGGAAAUGCCACUGGAUUCUAGUAUUGUCUUCAAUCUUCGCACUCUAGCACGGCAUUGCGCCUUCACGCGCGUUCGAGAGGUAACAAUUUGCAUUUACCUGUUUUACUUCCCUCUCGUAAUCAUAAUCGUAAUCGUAUCAAACUGAUUUCUUAAUCAUUGAAGGAUAUUUGCGCGGAUUUUUUAUAAAAAUUUUAUGAAUCACCCUUCCCUUCUUUCUCUUAAUAUAUGUCUGAUGGCUAGUAAUGACCAUCCUAAUCAGUUAGAUUAGAACCCGUGACAAAAGUUGAAAUAUGUAUGAUAACUGAGUGAAGUUUGUCAGUGAAUGCUCAGUUGUCCGUCUAAACCUAUAAGAAAACGAAUCCAUAAAAUUGUUUCUUCUUAAAUCAAACGGAGGUCGAAAAAACCUAAAACUCACUUGAGACAAUAACUUUAAUUUUCGUUGCACAUGCAUUUCAUGUUGGCAGCUUAUGAUUUGUGCAAUUCAAGCCACUUUUGAGUCGUACCAAUGACUGACUGCCAGCCUGAAACACGACUGUUG